AAAGCGAUGUUACGCCCUUGCUUCCUUGGCACAAAGACCUGCCCACUCUGUGAAGCAUUUGAGUGCUGCCAGGGCAAGCCAAUCAGAGGCAGUGUUGGCUUGGCAUGUCACGACAUGUUUCAUGCCUUUUUUCAAAGAAAAAUAAAAUGAAAUUUAGAAUGUAUAGGUCUUUUUUAAAUAAAAAAAAUAUUUCAUGUUAUUGGUCAAAAUUGCAGCUUGUAAAUUGAGUAGUUAAACUACAAAAAAUGACCCAAAAAGUAGUUGAAUCACUUGACGCAGCACAAAAUAUGAAUGUAGUUUAACUACCAGCAAGUUACAGCAAAUUGUAGUUAAGCUAUGUGGUUCAACCGCAUGUAGUUUAAGACUCCCAAACACUGCUUGUUUGUCUUUUGGAGGUAGAAACAAGACCAGAGACAGACCAGACGAGACAAGAAACUAUCUCAUGUCUGUGAUGUUAUCAUCCAUUAAUCAAUAGCUCUUUGAUUGCUGAAGUUUUUGCCUUUGUUUCUACUUGUCUUCCAUUUGUAUUUGACUGCUGGGAGAAGAUGGGACAAGACAACAUGCACUGUGAGCCCACUUCUUUCUAAAGAGAGACAGAGGAUAAGCUGAGAUGAGACAAAAGGAGGAGACAGGAUGCAGUGCAGACCAUCUUAUACAAAAAGAGAAAUAUAAAUGCAUUCAAAUUCAUAAUCAGAAUUAUCAUACACUGAAAUCAUUCUGCUGGUUGAUGAAGUUGUUUAUGAACUAUUAUGUGUCUUUUUUAUUUUCUAUUAGAAACCAGGAAACAGGAAGAAACAAGUCCAGACUGAGACAAGACAAAAGAUGAGCACAGGAGACAGCAUGCUGCAUGUGAACCCUCUCGUUUCAAAUGGGAGGGAAUGAGGGGCACCCACUGUGAGCCCUCUACUUCAAAAAAGACAACUGCAUCCUCAUAUUCUUAUGCAUAGUUCUGAUACUGAUAUGUAUGGAAGCUGAGAACAACCAUGUUUUUUUUUCUUUUUAUGCACUGUUAUCUUGUGAUGACAACUUAUUAUCUGGUUAUCUUGAUAUAACAAUAGUUGAUUUCUCAUGAUAAUUAAUUAAUUAGAUUUGAUAUCUCCAUAUAACAAAGAUUGUUUUCUCGCUAUAACAAAUUAAUUAAUAAUGUGUUCCAUAAUAUUAAAUGUACGGAGGCCGAGAAAGGCCAUGGAUUUUUCUUCUUUUUUAUGCAUUGUUAUAUUGAGAUAACGACUUACUAUGUCGUUAUCUCUAUAUAACAAAGGUUAUUUUCUCAUGAUAAUGAAUAGAUUUAUUUUGUUAUCUCGAUAUAACAAAGAUUGUUUUCUUGAUUCUUGAUUUCAAGAUUUACAAGAGUUGCCAUGAACGGCUUCCGUAGCCACUGGCUGUAGCUGUCAUAGACAUAUAUACACAAGACAAACACAUUAUCAAUCAAUUCGUUAUCAUGAGAAAACUAUUUUUGUUAUAUGGAGAUAACGAAUUGAAUUCAUUUGUUAUCAUGAGAAAACAACCUUUGUCAUAUCGAGAUAACGACGAUAAGUCCUCAUCAUGAGAUAACAGCGCUUAAAAAAUGGCCAUGGCCGUUCUCGGCUUCCAUAGAUACGACUUUAUAUUCAUAGUAAAAGUUCUUAUGUUGACGUCAGCUUAAGUUAUUAACCACGAGUCCUCCCUGUCUGGUAUUUGAGAGAAGAAGAGUCACGACUAGACACUGUGGACUGAGAGCCCUCACCUUUAGAAAUAAGUGCAUUCAUGUCUGACCACACCUUAAUGUGUGAAAUUGGUGGAGUUACCCUUUAGGUGCUCAACAGACCACUUGGUGGCAGCAGAGACUGUCUGUAAAUAAAUCACUGGCAAACCAUGACCUGAGCUGAUGAGCUAGGGACGUGUUGUACUGUGUGUGAUUGUGUAAAACUGUACUUAAGUGUGAUGAACCAAGCGUGAAUGGCAGAUGAUGGCCACUGGGGGGCACGCCACUCCUACAAAUCCAACAACACCACACUCGUAAGUCUUACUUUGAUGAUCCGCUUUCAACACCAAGGUUACAGUAAUUAAGAAAAGCAGACAAAUCGACUGAGACA